CAAAAACAUCGCCUCUUGCUCCCCUAAUAUAAGAGGUCCCGCCUGCCCCCUGACUAUACGUUUAAUGGCCACGGUAUCCUAACCGUGCAAAGGUAGCGCAAUCAUUUGUCUUCUAAUUAAAGACCUGUAUGAACGGCAUAACGAGAGCUUACCUGUCUCCUCUUUAAAGUCAAUAAAAUUGAUCUCCCCGUGCAGAAGCGAGGAUAUAUACAUAAGACGAGAAGACCCUGUGGAGCUUUAGGCACUAAAAUAUGUGUACAUUACACAAUUACACCCUUAUUUCAAUGCCUUCGGUUGGGGCGACCAAGGAGAAUUAAUCAACCCCCACGUGGAACAGAAGUACUCCUUCUCAAACCAAGAGUUACAACUCUAAUUAAUAGAAUUUCUAACCAUUCAACAUAAGACCCGGCAACGCCGAUCUACGAACCAAGUUACCCCAGGGAUAACAGCGCAAUCCCCUUUAAGAGCCCAUAUCGACAAGGGGGUUUACGACCUCGAUGUUGGAUCAGGACACCCCAAUGGUGCAUCCGUUAUUAAAGGUUCGUUUGUUCAACGAUUAAAGUCCUACGUGAUC
rnacentral:rRNA from 1 species